rnacentral:lncRNA from 1 species
AAAAAAUUGACUCCCAGUAAGAAGUUAUUAUCAAAAUAACAAGUGUUGGUGAGGAAGUGGAGAAAUUGGACCGUUUCUACACUGUUGAUGAGAAUGUAAAAUGGUGCAGCCACUAUAAGAAACAAUGUGGCUGUUCCCCAAAAAUUAAAUAUAGAGGUGGGCUGGAUGGUGCACAUCUGUAAUCCCAGCCACUUGGGAGGCUGAGGAAGGAGGAUCACAAGUUGGAGGCCAGCCUCAGCAACUUAGUGACACCCUGUCUCAAGAUAAAAAAAUAAAAAUGGCUGAGGAUAUAGGUCAGAAAAAUAGUGGCCCUAAGAUCAAGCUCCUUCGCUGAGGGGAGAAAAACCAUAAAUACAGAAUAAUCAUAUGAUCCAGCAAUACCACUUCUGGAUACAUAAUCCAAAAGAACUGAAAGCAAGACUUGAAGAGAUAUUUGCACACCAUGUUCACAGCAGCACUCUUUGUGAUGGCCAAGACCAGAAAGUAAUGCAGGUGCCCAUCAAGGGAUAAAUGGAUAAGUAAAUGCAACAUGCACACACAAUAGAAUAUUGCUCAGCCUUAGAAAGGAAGGAAAUUCGGACACAUGGCACAACAUGGACAUUUACUAAGUGAAAUAAGCCAGUCACAAAGACAAAUACAAUAUAUACGUGUGUGUGCUGUGUGUGUAGACAUUAAAAUAAAAACGUGUUUUUAGAAAAAUGGCUUUAAACAAACAAAUAAAAACCCAAAAAGACAAAUGUUAUGGUUCCAUUCAUAUCUAAAGUAAAUCCAUGGAAACAGAACAUAGAAUAGUGGUUGCCAGGGCUGGAGGAAGUGGGAGAUGGGGAGUUGUUAAACAGGUAUCAAGUUUCACUUAUGCAAUAUGUAAAAGUUCCGGAGAUCUGUUGCACAAUGAUGUGAAUAUACUUGACACUACUGAACUGUAUCCUUAGAAA